rnacentral:rRNA from 1 species
CCUACGGGUGGCAGCAGUGAGGAAUAUUGGUCAAUGGACGCAAGUCUGAACCAGCCAUGCCGCGUGCAGGAUGACGGCCCUAUGAGUUGUAAACUGCUUUUGUACGAGGGUAAACGCAGAUACGCGUAUCUGUUUGAAUGUAUCGUAUGAAUAAGGAUCGGCUAACUCCGUGCCAGCAGCCGCGGUAAUACGGAGGAUCCAAGCGUUAUCCGGAUUUAUUGGGUUUAAAGGGUGCGUAGGUGGGCGGUUAAGUUAGAGGUGAAAUCCCGAGGCUCAACUUCGGAAUUGCAUCUGAUACUGUUCGGCUAGAGAGUAGUUGCGGUAGGCGGAAUGUAUGGUGUAGCGGUGAAAUGCUUAGAGAUCAUACAGAACACCGAUUGCGAAGGCAGCUUACCAAUCUAUAUCUGACGUUGAGGCACGAAAGCGUGGGGAGCAAACAGGAUUAGAUACCCGAGUAGUC